rnacentral:rRNA from 1 species
UUGAACCGCAUGGUUCAAUCAUAAAAGGGGGCUUUUAGCUACCACUUACAGAUGGACCCGCGGCGCAUUAGCUAGUUGGUGAGGUAACGGCUCACCAAGGCGACGAUGCGUAGCCGACCUGAGAGGGUGAUCGGCCACACUGGGACUGAAACACGGCCCAGACUCCUACGGGAGGCAGCAGUAGGGAAUCUUCCGCAAUGGACGAAAGUCUGACGGAACAACGCCGCGUGAGUGAUGAAGGUUUUCGGAUCGUAAAACUCUGUUGUUAGGGAAGAACAAGUACCGUUCGAAUAGGGCGGUACCUUGACGGUACCUAACCAGAAAGCCACGGCUAACUACGUGCCAGCAGCCGCGGUAAUACGUAGGUGGCAAGCGUUGUCCGGAAUUAUUGGGCGUAAAGCGCGCGCAGGCGGUUUCUUAAGUCUGAUGUGAAAGCCCCCGGCUCAACCGGGGAGGGUCAUUGGAAACUGGGGAACUUGAGUGCAGAAGAGGAGAGUGGAAUUCCACGUGUAGCGGUGAAAUGCGUAGAGAUGUGGAGGAACACCAGUGGCGAAGGCGACUCUCUGGUCUGUAACUGACGCUGAGGCGCGAAAGCGUGGGGAGCGAACAGGAUUAGAUACCCUGGUAGUCCACGCCGUAAACGAUGAGUGCUAAGUGUUAGAGGGUUUCCGCCCUUUAGUGCUGCAGCAAACGCAUUAAGCACUCCGCCUGGGGAGUACGGUCGCAAGACUGAAACUCAAAGGAAUUGACGGGGGCCCGCACAAGCGGUGGAGCAUGUGGUUUAAUUCGAAGCAACGCGAAGAACCUUACCAGGUCUUGACAUCCUCUGACAACCCUAGAGAUAGGGCUUCCCCUUCGGGGGCAGAGUGACAGGUGGUGCAUGGUUGUCGUCAGCUCGUGUCGUGAGAUGUUGGGUUAAGUCCCGCAACGAGCGCAACCCUUGAUCUUAGUUGCCAGCAUUCAGUUGGGCACUCUAAGGUGACUGCCGGUGACAAACCGGAGGAAGGUGGGGAUGACGUCAAAUCAUCAUGCCCCUUAUGACCUGGGCUACACACGUGCUACAAUGGGCAGAACAAAGGGCAGCGAAGCCGCGAGGCUAAGCCAAUCCCACAAAUCUGUUCUCAGUUCGGAUCGCAGUCUGCAACUCGACUGCGUGAAGCUGGAAUCGCUAGUAAUCGCGGAUCAGCAUGCCGCGGUGAAUACGUUCCCGGGCCUUGUACACACCGCCCG